AUUGAACGCUGGCGGCAUGCCUUACACAUGCAAGUCGAACGGCAGCACGGGAGCAAUCCUGGUGGCGAGUGGCGAACGGGUGAGUAAUAUAUCGGAACGUGCCCAGUCGUGGGGGAUAACGUAGCGAAAGCUACGCUAAUACCGCAUACGAUCUAUGGAUGAAAGCGGGGGAUCGCAAGACCUCGCGCGAUUGGAGCGGCCGAUAUCAGAUUAGGUAGUUGGUGAGGUAAAGGCUCACCAAGCCGACGAUCUGUAGCUGGUCUGAGAGGACGACCAGGCACACUGGGACUGAGACACGGCCCAGAAGCCUACGGGAGGCAGCAGUGGGGAAUUUUGGACAAUGGGCGCAAGCCUGAUCCAGCAAUGCCGCGUGCAGGAUGAAGGCCUUCGGGUUGUAAACUGCUUUUGUACGGAGCGAAAAGGCUUCCACUAAUACUGGGGGCUCAUGACGGUACCGUAAGAAUAAGCACCGGCUAACUACGUGCCAGCAGCCGCGGUAA
rnacentral:rRNA from 1 species